rnacentral:misc_RNA from 1 species
CCUUAAAUGGUCACUAAUUGACCACUAGAAUGUCCAUUAAUCAAUUCAAAUGCCAAGUCCAAUUUUCACCCUUAAAACCCUAAUUUCUCAUUGCAAUUCACCCAUACACCUUAGUUACACACUUCCAUUCAUUAUAUAUGUGUUUAUACACUUUAAACAUAAGCUAUAAUUCAUUGUAAGUCCAUCAACAACACUCAAUCCUAUUCCUUCCUUAGGGCAGCUGAAAUCCAUGGUAUGUAUACA